AGACUUGUAAAAACCUUGCCAAAUCUUAGGGUUUUCGACUUGAGUAAGAUGUAGAGAAGAAAAGCAAAUAAUUGAAACAGGCCUAGAGACUAAUGAGAAAACGAACAAAUAGUAGGUUCAAGGCGAACAUAACUGAUUUGAAACAUAGAAAGAGUAGCAAGAACACGUUUUAUGAAGCUUAGAACUUAAAUAAAUUUAGAAGAAAGCCGAUAAAGAACUGACGCUUAGUAGAAAAAUACAGUAAAGGAACACAUGGGUAAAUGAACAUAGAAGAAAAACAUGUGUAAGCAUGCUAUAGAAACUAUUAGAAGAAAGAAUGGAAAACAUGCAUAAUAAGACAAACACAAAAGCACAUGAGAAGCACCUGUGAGGAAAGAGAAUGAGAAUAAAGCGAAAACUCAUAAGAACAUGGCAUAUACAGAUAGAUUCACACAAAGAAAAGAAGAUGAAGAAGAGACAUAAGUCAUUUUAAGAUUUUUAGAAAACCCUAGAUUGAAACAGGCUAAAUUUGAAAAAGAAAAAUUGGGAAAAGCUUCAAAACGUUGAAUACAACAAAGAUUCAUCACAAAUCUAAGCAAAAUAAGAGAAGAUGGACCUAGAAAUAGCUUUAGGGUUCCACAGAAACCCUAGAAAUGAGAAGGCUUAGAAAAGGUCUGGUCUCGAACAGAUCUGAGCCGUAGCUAGGCUCUUAAGGCUUAAAUAGGUCAGAACAGAGCCAGAGAGGCCAUAGGAGCAUAGAUCAGUGGAG
rnacentral:lncRNA from 1 species